CAUGGCUCAGGAUGAACGCUGACAGAAUGCUUAACACAUGCAAGUCUUUGGCGAAGCUGUGCUUGCACAGCCUAGCCAAGGCGGACGGGUGAGUAACGCGUAAGGAACUUGCCCUGCAGUCAGGGAUAACAGACGGAAACGACUGAUAAGACCUGGUAAAGUCAGGCGGACUCAUGUCCAGCCUGAUGAAAAGAGAUGCUGCAGGAGAGCCUUGCGUCCUAUUAGCUUGUUGGUGGGGUAACGGCCCACCAAGGCGAUGAUAGGUAGCCGGCCUGAGAGGGUGGACGGCCACAAGGGGACUGAGAUACGGCCCUUACUCCUACGG
rnacentral:rRNA from 1 species